CCUACGGGGGGCAGCAGUGGGGAAUAUUGGACAAUGGGGGGAACCCUGAUCCAGCCAUGCCGCGUGUGUGAAGAAGGCCCUCGGGUUGUAAAGCACUUUCAGUGAGGAAGAACGCCUGGUGGUUAAUACCCAUCAGGAAAGACAUCACUCACAAAAGAAGCACCGGCUAACUCCGUGCCAGCAGCCGCGGUAAUACGGAGGGUGCGAGCGUUAAUCGGAAUUACUGGGCGUAAAGCGCGCGUAGGUGGCUUGAUAAGCCGGUUGUGAAAGCCCCGGGCUCAACCUGGGAACGGCAUCCGGAACUGUCAAGCUAGAGUGCAGGAGAGGAAGGUGGAAUUCGCGGUGUAGCGGUGAAAUGCGUAGAGAUCGGGAGGAAUACCAGUGGCGAAGGCGGCCUUCUGGACUGACACUGACACUGAGGUGCGAAAGCGUGGGUAGCAAACAGGAUUAGAUACCCCUGUAGUC
rnacentral:rRNA from 1 species